GUCGAACUAUAUAAUUGAACUAUAUAUAACUGUUGUUAUAGUGCUGUAGAACACCGGAACUUACUCCUCCUAUCCAGCUAGUACAACAGUAUUUAAAAUAAAUAAGUGGGUGAACUGAGGCUAAACCUUGAGAUAAGGUUGAUGCACAAACUGUAUAUCCUGAGAUCCAGAUCAUCUACUAGACAUGGUCUGCAGAGUUGGCUUUCAGCUUCCUAAGAGCACUCAAAGCAAGAAGGGGAAGUGAUUAAUGAUACAAUUUGGAAGGUCCUUAUAAUGUGAAAACAAACUGGUAGUGCAGGAGAAACUCGGUUUUUUUCUUGGCCCCCAGACCUUCCUUCCAUGGGUCUUCACAAAGAGAAUUUAAUGUGAACUAGCAGGAUUCCCUGUAAUAAAUAAGAGUAUCUGAUUUAUCAUACUGUGCCUCUGUGUAGACAGGUGACACAAAGCCAGUGCUUCAUUUAAUAAAAACAGUUUGAUAAAUGACCAUAAAAUAGAUUAAAUUAUAUUCUCUAAUAUUACAAUGGUGCUAUGAAAAUUAACAGAGACUGGGCUGGGCGUGGUGGCUCAAAAAGAAAAAAAAAGAAAGAAAAUCAACACAGACUGGGUUACAUGCAACCUGUGAUAAAUUCAUUUAUGAAAUUUUAAACCUACCAAGCAGUGUCAUGGUAAAUGGAAAUUCUAUGUGUAGGCCAGAUGGAGAAAGAAGCACUUUCUAUGACUGUUCUAAGGAAGACCCCAGGGAGGAAGUAUGGUCUUUAGGAAGCACUUAGGAAACAGAGCUUAGCACUUUGGGAGGCCAAGGCAGGAGAAUCGCUUGAGCCCAGGAGUUUGAGGCUGCAGUGAGUCUAAUAAAAAAAAAUUACACAUAAUAAAACAAUUAGCCAAACAUGGUGGCACAUGCC
rnacentral:lncRNA from 1 species